CGAUCCCUAGCUGGUCUGAGAGGAUGACCAGCCACACUGGAACUGAGACACGGUCCAGACUCCUACGGGAGGCAGCAGUGGGGAAUAUUGCACAAUGGGCGCAAGCCUGAUGCAGCCAUGCCGCGUGUAUGAAGAAGGCCUUCGGGUUGUAAAGUACUUUCAGCGGGGAGGAAGGGAGUAAAGUUAAUACCUUUGCUCAUUGACGUUACCCGCAGAAGAAGCACCGGCUAACUCCGUGCCAGCAGCCGCGGUAAUACGGAGGGUGCAAGCGUUAAUCGGAAUUACUGGGCGUAAAGCGCACGCAGGCGGUUUGUUAAGUCAGAUGUGAA
rnacentral:rRNA from 1 species